UACGUAGGGGGCUAGCGUUGUCCGGAAUCAUUGGGCGUAAAGAGCGCGUAGGCGGCCCGGUAAGUCCGCUGUGAAAGUCGGGGGCUCAACCCUCGAAUGCCGGUGGAUACUGUCGGGCUAGAGUGCGGAAGAGGCGAGUGGAAUUCCUGGUGUAGCGGUGAAAUGCGCAGAUAUCAGGAGGAACACCGGUGGCGAAGGCGCCUAUCUGGCCCGAUACUGACGCUGAGGCGCGAAAGCUAGGGGAGCAAACGGG
rnacentral:rRNA from 1 species